rnacentral:rRNA from 1 species
UCGGGUUGUAAAGCACUUUUGUCCGGAAAGAAAACUUCUGCCCUAAUACGGUGGGAGGAUGACGGUACCGGAAGAAUAAGCACCGGCUAACUACGUGCCAGCAGCGCGGUAAUCGUAGGGUGCGAGCGUUAAUCGGAAUUACUGGGCGUAAAGCGUGCGCAGGCGGUUCGUUAAGACAGAUGUGAAAUCCCCGGGCUUAACCUGGGAACUGCAUUUGUGACUGGCGAGCUAGAGUAUGGCAGAGGGGGGUAGAAUUCCACGUGUAGCAGUGAAAUGCGUAGAGAUGUGGAGGAAUACCGAUGGCGAAGGCAGCCCCCUGGGCCAAUACUGACGCUCAUGCACGAAAGCGUGGGGAGCAAACAGGAUUAGAUACCCUGGUAGUCCACGCCCUAAACGAUGUCAACUAGUUGUUGGGUCUUCAUUGACUUAGUAACGUAGCUAACGCGUGAAGUUGACCGCCUGGGGAGUACGGUCGCAAGAUUAAAACUCAAAGGAAUUGACGGGGACCCGCACAAGCGGUGGAUGAAGGUGGAUUAAUUCGAUGCAACGCGAAAAACCUUACCUACCCUUGACAUGGUCGGAACCCUGCUG